UCCCUGGACGGACGGUCCAGCAGGGCCGGCAGACGUCCACGGAAUAUGGCCUCUGGACAACCCGCCGUCUGGCCUGCACAGAAUGGCUUGCACAAAGGCAAAAACUCAAAAAGGUUCAGAGGAGAAAACGCCCCCUGAAUAGCCGGGGGUCAAGCGAACCGGCCUGAGCAGAGGCCUAGCGUUGGGUCUGUAAAAGACCGCCACCGUCCACUGGUUGCCACGGCGACGGCCACUCGGCCUGCAGAAAGCCGUGCAUGCACACUCCCAUGCCUGGGCACACACACAAGCCGAUACUGAUUUCAACAUCAGGGGCAGAAAGCCCCUCUUUUCUGUGCCAAAGUCCACCCCCUCUCUUCUUUCUUCUGAAUAGCUGAGCUAUAACGGCAUUUGGCAAAAAAAAAAAAACACCCAAAAAACCCCAGGUCACCGCAGGAUAGAAGCUGCUGGCUCCUUUUCCAGAGAGAAAACACUCCCGCUUCCAGCAUCGUCCUGAUGACUGGAGCAGAUGCGGCGUCCUGCGUUUCCCGUCAGCUGGCGGUGGAAGCAGGCACACGUGCAAAAUCUGGCUUUUUCUUUUUUGCAGCCUGGCAAUUCUGGGCAAGCCGGAAUGAACGUUUCAGCGUGGAAGGAGUCGGGUGAGUAAGCGACCCCGUUUCAAAUCGGUUGGCGUGAGACUCUUGGAAGAAGCAAGUGGCCAGAUCCAGUUGCUGACUCAUGGACAUGGAAAGGACAGAUGCAGACAAAAGAGACCAACUGGGAGAGAUGUUAUCACCAUCCUGGCAAGAGAGCCAACUUGGCUUCCGACGGAGACAGACAGAGCUCCUAGCCAAGUGCUUUGUGAGGCACUGCUGAGUUCGAAGAAUCGAGAUCCACUCCCAUCACUGGGAAAAGAAGAAACUCUGUUCAGAAAAUAGCCCGGAUUAGAGGGGAAGAAAGCCACACGUAUAUACACUGCCUGCAACCCCAAAGAGGGCGUAUGGAUUAAGGAUUAUUGGGGACAGGUGUGAGUUGUUUCCUCUUGACUUUGCAAAUGGCAGGCAGCGUGGUGUAGUGGUUAAAGGGUUAGACGGCGUCCAGAUCCUUGCUCAGCCCUAACCAAGAGCAUUGCUGGAUACUUAAGAGAUACUUAAGAGAUCCCACAGCCUGCUUUUGAAAACUCAGCCACACCCCACCCCAGGGAGAACCAUUUUUGCCAUCCUGAGCUCCUUGCAGGAAAAGUAGGAUAUGAAUAAGACAGACAGGCAGACGUGUCAGUGAAUCACACACUGGUUCGGCCAUCUUGUCCUUUUCCCUGUGCUUCGGGCAGGCUAGCUGCCUCUUUAAAUAUUUUAAAGCACCAUGUGUACAAUCUAUCCAUAUUCGGGUUCCUCCUGAGAUCUAUUUAAAUGCAAUUUAAAUAGAGUUGCCAUACUAUUCUGGGGAUGGGUGAGAAAGAUGGGGGUGGGACGUCACAGGUACUAUCCAAUAGGUGCCCGCCAUAGAUAGAGCUUCCCGCUUCCAGUCCCACCUUUUAUUCUUCCACUCAGUAUCAAAUCACCCCAAACCACCUUCAUCACUUACCCAGCUUAAUGUUUUCACUUUUGAGGGUGGACAAAUCGGCUGUGUCAACGGUAAACUCCCGGAGGUUCACGUCUUUCCUGGCAAAGCAAUGGAGGGAAUUACAAAAGGCAUUCCUUGUAGAUUCCUUGGGGCAGGGCACUGCAAGGAAAGAGCAACGACCCCGGAAAGGACUCACCUCUCCUCUGCCGCUUGCGGGUGACCAAGACCACGAGGAUCAAGAGCAGGAUGAAGAACACGAGCGUC